rnacentral:rRNA from 1 species
UACGUAGGGGGCAAGCGUUGUCCGGAUUUAUUGGGCGUAAAGAGCGUGUAGGCGGUUUGGUAGGUCCGCUGUGAAACUCGAGGCUCAACCUCGAGACGCCGGUGGAAACCAUCAGACUAGAGUCCGGAAGAGGAGAGUGGAAUUCCUGGUGUAGCGGUGAAAUGCGCAGAUAUCAGGAAGAACACCCGUGGCUAAGGCGGCUCUCUAGUACGGUACUGACGCUGAGACGCGAAAGCGUGGGGAGCGAACAGG